rnacentral:rRNA from 2 species
GGUUAAUAUUCCCGUACUUGGUGUUACUGCGAAGGGGGGACGGAGAAGGCUAUGUUGGCCGGGCGACGGUUGUCCCGGUUUAAGCGUGUAGGUGUGUGUUCCAGGUAAAUCCGGUUCACUUUAACACUGAGGCGUGACGACGAGGCACUACGGUGCUGAAGCAACAAAUGCCCUGCUUCCAGGAAAAGCCUCUAAGCAUCAGGUAACAUCAAAUCGUACCCCAAACCGACACAGGUGGUCAGGUAGAGAAUACCAAGGCGCUUGAGAGAACUCGGGUGAAGGAACUAGGCAAAAUGGUGCCGUAACUUCGGGAGAAGGCACGCUGACACGUAGGUGAAGUGAUUUACUCAUGGAGCUGAAGUCAGUCGAAGAUACCAGCUGGCUGCAACUGUUUAUUAAAAACACAGCACUGUGCAAACACGAAAGUGGACGUAUACGGUGUGACGCCUGCCCGGUGCCGGAAGGUUAAUUGAUGGGGUCAGCGCAAGCGAAGCUCCUGAUCGAAGCCCCGGUAAACGGCGGCCGUAACUAUAACGGUCCUAAGGUAGCGAAAUUCCUUGUCGGGUAAGUUCCGACCUGCACGAAUGGCGUAAUGAUGGCCAGGCUGUCUCCACCCGAGACUCAGUGAAAUUGAACUCGCUGUGAAGAUGCAGUGUACCCGCGGCAAGACGGAAAGACCCCGUGAACCUUUACUAUAGCUUGACACUGAACAUUGAGCCUUGAUGUGUAGGAUAGGUGGGAGGCUUUGAAGUGUGGACGCCAGUCUGCAUGGAGCCGACCUUGAAAUACCACCCUUUAAUGUUUGAUGUUCUAACGUGGACCCGUGAUCCGGGUUGCGGACAGUGUCUGGUGGGUAGUUUGACUGGGGCGGUCUCCUCCUAAAGAGUAACGGAGGAGCACGAAGGUUGGCUAAUCCUGGUCGGACAUCAGGAGGUUAGUGCAAUGGCAUAAGCCAGCUUGACUGCGAGCGUGACGGCGCGAGCAGGUGCGAAAGCAGGUCAUAGUGAUCCGGUGGUUCUGAAUGGAAGGGCCAUCGCUCAACGGAUAAAAGGUACUCCGGGGAUAACAGGCUGAUACCGCCCAAGAGUUCAUAUCGACGGCGGUGUUUGGCACCUCGAUGUCGGCUCAUCACAUCCUGGGGCUGAAGUAGGUCCCAAGGGUAUGGCUGUUCGCCAUUUAAAGUGGUACGCGAGCUGGGUUUAGAACGUCGUGAGACAGUUCGGUCCCUAUCUGCCGUGGGCGCUGGAGAACUGAGGGGGGCUGCUCCUAGUACGAGAGGACCGGAGUGGACGCAUCACUGGUGUUCGGGUUGUCAUGCCAAUGGCACUGCCCGGUAGCUAAAUGCGGAAGAGAUAAGUGCUGAAAGCAUCUAAGCACGAAACUUGCCCCGAG